UACAGAGGUCUCAAGCGUUGUUCGGAUUCAUUGGGCGUAAAGGGUGCGUAGGCGGCGCGGUAAGUCGGGUGUGAAAUCUCGGAGCUUAACUCCGAAACUGCAUUCGAUACUGCCGUGCUUGAGGACUGGAGAGGAGACUGGAAUUUACGGUGUAGCGGUGAAAUGCGUAGAUAUCGUAAGGAAGACCAGUGGCGAAGGCGGGUCUCUGGACAGUUCCUGACGCUGAGCCGCGAAAGCGUGGGGAGCGAUCCGG
rnacentral:rRNA from 1 species